AUUGAACGCUGGCGGCAGGCCUAACACAUGCAAGUCGAACGAGUGGCGGACGGGUGAGUAAUGUCUGGGAAACUGCCCGAUGGAGGGGGAUAACUACUGGAAACAGUAGCUAAUACCGCAUACCAUCGGAUGUGCCCAGAUGGGAUUAGCUAGUGGGUGGGGUAACGGCUCACCUAGGCGACGAUCCCUAGCUGGCCUGAGAGGAUGACCGGCAAAACUGGAACUGAGCAACGGCCCAGACCCCUACGGGAGGCAGCAGUGGGGAAUAUUGCACAAGGGGCGCAAGCCUGAUACAGCCAUGCCGCGUGUAUGAAGAAGGCCUUGGGGUUGUAAAGUACUUUCAGCGAGGAGGCGUUACUCAAAGAAGAAGCACCGGCUAACUCCGUGCCAGCAGCCGCGGUAAUAC
rnacentral:rRNA from 1 species